AUGUGCCACUCGCAUACUCCUGUUCUGGGCGCGUCGUCCGCACCAGCUGACGACUGCGCGUGACCGGUUGCCAGCG
rnacentral:sRNA from 1 species